AAUACAAGCUGGCUUAUCGCGUCUGAGCAAUCGGGCGAGGAAAGUCCGGGCAGCGGAGGGCACCCUACUUCCUAACGGGAAGGCGGGCGGUUGGGAACGGCCGUUCGACAGCCAGUGUCACAGAAAAUAUACCGCCCGGUUUCGUGAAGAGUGAAGUGGGUGUAGUAGGUUGAGUGAGUGAAUACCCACUUCACCCCCUCCACUCACUACACUCUUCACGAAACCGGGUAAGGGUGAAAAGGUGGGGUAAGAGCCUACCGCCCACUGGGCGACCAGCGGGGCAGGAUAAACCUUAGGGGCUGAAAGACCAAAUAAGCGUCGGACGUGGGGCGGCCCGUCUCCGUUUCGGGGUAAUCCGGAUACCGACGCGGGUAGGUCGAAAGAGGUGGCCGGUGACGACCAUCCCAGAUAAAUGAUAAGCCAUUUGGGCGGGCCGUCAGGUACGUCUGGAGGACAGAACCCGGCUUAUAGGCUUGUAUUGAUG
rfam:Spirosoma linguale DSM 74, complete genome.